UUACGAUUGACGGAGCGAAGCGACGUCAAAGCGUAUACAAAGUCGAGUCGGUUUAAGGAUACGUUCGUUGGGUAGGGGAGCGUUCUGUAAGCCUGUGAAGGUGUGUCGUGAGGCAUGCUGGAGGUAUCAGAAGUGCGAAUGCUGACAUAAGUAACGAUAAAGCGGGUGAAAAGCCCGCUCGCCGGAAGACCAAGGGUUCCUGUCCAACGUUAAUCGGGGCAGGGUGAGUCGACCCCUAAGGCGAGGCCGAAAGGCGUAGUCGAUGGGAAACGGGUUAAUAUUCCCGUACUUGGUGUUACUGCGAAGGGGGGACGGAGAAGGCUAUGUUGGCCGGGCGACGGUUGUCCCGGUUUAAGCGUGUAGGUGUGUGUUCCAGGUAAAUCCGGUUCACUUUAACAC
rnacentral:rRNA from 1 species